CCAGACUCCUACGGGAGGCAGCAGUAAGGGAUAUUGGUCAAUGGGGGAAACCCUGAACCAGCAACGCCGCGUGAGGGAAGACGGUUUUCGGAUUGUAAACCUCUGUCCUCUGUGAAGAUGAUGACGGUAGCAGAGGAGGAAGCUCCGGCUAACUACGUGCCAGCAGCCGCGGUAAUACGUAGGGAGCGAGCGUUGUCCGGAUUUACUGGGUGUAAAGGGCGUGUAGGCGGGACUGCAAGUCAGAUGUGAAACCCAUGGGCUCAACCCAUGGCCUGCAUUUGAAACUGUAGUUCUUGAGUGAUGGAGAGGCAGGCGGAAUUCCGUGUGUAGCGGUGAAAUGCGUAGAUAUACGGAGGAACACCAGUGGCGAAGGCGGCCUGCUGGACAUUAACUGACGCUGAGGCGCGAAAGCGUGGGUAGCAAACAGGAUUAGAUACCCGUGUAAAG
rnacentral:rRNA from 1 species